rnacentral:lncRNA from 1 species
AAGUUGCCCAGGCUGGGGUCAUACUUGAGAUCCUUCUGCCUCAGUCUCCUGGAGUGCUGAGGUUAAGGUGUGUGCCCCCAUGCCUGGCCACCCUCACAUUUGAUCGCUGGCACAACAGAAUUCCAACAUGGUUUCCAAGGCCACCAUGCCUGGCCCCUGGUGACCUCCUGGACUUGCCUUCUAUGGUGAACUCUGGUGAGUUACCUGAGAUGUCAGAAUCGCACUCACUCCAGGCUUCACCCGUGCUCCUGCGCUGCUCCUAUACCCAGCUGGCUGACAGCUCCUACUUGAUCCUUUAGGUCUCAGCCCUUCAGGUGUCCGUGCUCAGCAGGUACAAGUUACUACGUGGUGAUGCCAGCUUGCUGCCCAUGACUCCCAGAUGCAGCUGCCCAGGAAUGGCAACUGACUCAUGUGCCGCUCCAGGCCCAGCACCAGCCUCAGCGCCCGGGACACCCACCCUCUUGGUUUGCCUUCUUGACAGUCAUUUCUUCCUUGUUUCCUCACCCAAUUGGAUGCUGACUUUUCUCUGGUAGCAACAAUUCCAGAAGACUAAGAGACAGUUAUCUUCUGGUGACUAUGACUGUUCUGCUGCGACACAGAAGCCUCGUCACCGUCACCGGGGCUGAGUUAGCCAUGGGCAGUGUGACCCUCUGCUCAUACACGAGAUACAGGGCAGUGGUGACCUCUGCGGUCGCCCCAGGACAAUACUUCAGAGAUGCAGGAGAGGAAAGAGUCCGUGUCUGUCCCUCGGGAGAAGAGGAUAAGUGAAAGAAGGAGAGGCAGACCCAGACAAGGACCCGAGGUUCAGAGACUUGUCUGAGGUAACAUGCUAGUCACAAACAGAAGAUCUAAGGCUCAAGCCCAGGUCUUUCGUUGCAAAUUUCACACUUUUCUCAUCUCCCAUGCUGCCUGUCCCACGUGAAAAGCCCAUUUUUCCGUGCUUCCUCUUAAUGGUGAAAUAACUUCACCUGAGAAAAGCUCAUAGUCAAAUACUUCUCUCUGACCUAAUCUACUGCCUUUCUAUUGGUGCUAGAAAACCAGUGUUAUAAGAGCCCUAAAACUGCCAACACAUCUAAAAAAUGUUUGGCUCUUCAUUGGAGGAUGGGACCCAACUGACCACAUAAAAUCUAAAUAAAGAACAUAUAAUGGCU